rnacentral:rRNA from 1 species
AGUUACUUUUAGUGGCAAGCUUAACUUUCUUAGGGAGGCGAAGGGAAACCGAGUCUUAAUAGGGCGUUUAGUCGCUAGGAGUAGACCCGAAACCAGACGAUCUAUCCAUGGCCAGGGUGAAGGUGGGGUAAUACCUACUGGAGGCCCGAACCCACCUAUGUUGAAAAAUGGGGGGAUGAGCUGUGGAUAGGAGUGAAAGGCUAAUCAAGUCUGGAGAUAGCUGGUUCUCCCCGAAAACUAUUUAGGUAGUGCCUCAUGUAUUACUCUCGGGGGUANAGCACUGUUUCGGCUAGGGGGACAUCCCGUCCUACCAAACCGAUGCAAACUCCGAAUACCGAGAAGUANANUCAUGGGAGNCACACAGCGGGUGCUAACGUCCGUUAGUGGANAGGGAAACAACCCAGAUCGCCAACUAAGGUCCCAAAAUNACAGNUAAGUGGGAAACGAAGUGAGAAGUCAAAGACAGCCAGGAGGUUGGCUUAGAAGCAGCCAUCCUUUAAGAAAGCGUAACAGCUNACUGGUCAAGUCGACUUGCGCGGAAGGAUUUAACGGGGCUNAANCUGUNUACCGAAGUUGCGAAUGCUUAUNUUNUNAUAAGCGUGGUAGGGGGAGCGUUCUGUAAGNCNNUGAAGGNNUANUGCGAGNUAUGCUGGAGNUAUCAGAAGUGAGAAUGCUGACAUGAGUAACGAUAAUGCGGGUGAAAAACCCGCACGCCGAAAACCCAAGGGUUCCUGCGCAACGUUAAUCGUCGCAGGGUUAGUCGGUUCCUAAGGCGAGACCGAAAGGUGUAGUCGAUGGACAACAGGUUAAUAUUCCUGUACCGCGUUUACUGCUAUGGGGGGACGGAGAAGGCUAAGCUUACCGGGUGUUGGUUAUCCCGGGAAAAGUAUGUAGGUAGGAAACUUUAGUAAAUCUGGGUUUCUAUUACUGAGGUACGAGACCAUCGAUUUUUUAAUCGAGAAGUAGCUGAUGCCAUGCUCCCAAGAAAAGCCUCUAAGCUUCAGGUUAUAAGGAACCGUACCCCAAACCGACACAGGUGGUUGGGAUGAGUAUUCUAAGGCGCUUGAGAGAACUCGGGUGAAGGAACUAGGCAAAGUGGUACCGUAACUUCGGGAGAAGGUACGCCGCUGACGGUGAUGAGACUUGCUCUCUGAGCUAUCGGCGGUCGCAGUGAAAAGGCCCCUGCAACUGUUUAUUAAAAACACAGCACUCUGCAAACGCGUAAGCGGACGUAUAGGGUGUGACGCCUGCCCGGUGCCGGAAGGUUAAUUGAUGGGGUUAGCUUCGGCGAAGCUCUUGAUCGAAGCCCCGGUAAACGGCGGCCGUAACUAUAACGGUCCUAAGGUAGCGAAAUUCCUUGUCGGGUAAGUUCCGACCUGCACGAAUGGUGUAACCAUGGCCACGCUGUCUCCACCCGAGACUCAGUGAAAUUGAAAUCGCAGUGAAGAUGCUGUGUACCCGCGGCUAGACGGAAAGACCCCGUGAACCUUUACUAUAGCUUCACAGUGGACUUUGAGCCUGCUUGUGUAGGAUAGCUGGGAGACAUUGAAGCGGUGACGCUAGUCAUCGUGGAGUCGUCCUUGAAAUACCAGCCUGGCAUGUUCGAGGUUCUAACCCAGGCCCGUUAUCCGGGUCGGGGACAUUGUGUGGUGGGUAGUUUGACUGGGGCGGUCUCCUCCCA